rnacentral:lncRNA from 1 species
GGAAAUGUAUUUAAUGUCUAAUUUUUGUUUUGCAAUAAUUUAGAUAAAAAUACAUGACAUAUUUUUAUUUUGCUUUAGCUUUUAGACAUAUAAUUAAUACUCCCCUAUUAGUCUAUGUAGUUUAGCUUGAAUUAGUGCUUUUAGAUUAUGUUUAUUUUUAUUAUGGCUUUUUAAUUAGCAAUAUUUAUAUUACAUAAUUUUAUUGUCUUUAUUGUUG